ACCCGUGUCACUGCUGUGCUGCACUGCGCCCCCGUCUGGUGUUGUUGGUGUGUUGCUUUCUGUUCGUUUUCGGCCCGCGAGUGCAGGAACUCGGAGCUCAUUGGCCAGAGUGUUGCUUCAUUUGCAUACUGGUCAGCAGCCCCUGCUAUAACCGCCGCGGCCGGAGGCGCCUGCGUAGAGCGAAGACGACGUCUGCCCGCCAUGAGGACGCCGCUGCUGCUCGCCUUCUACGGGGUACUCUGGGUCAGCUGUGUGUGUGUCCAUCCUGACUCCGUAACCUUGUUUGGGACGGGCACGCAGCUCAUGGUGGCAGGCCCUCAACAGCCUACCCUCCUGAUUUUCCAGCCCUCGGCCGAGGAGAUGACCACCCGCGGAACGGCCACCUUGCUGUGUGUGGUCAGCGACCUGUCAACACCUUUUGCCCCAGUGAGCUGGACGGCCGAGGGCUGCAGCCCGAGCCUCAUGGGGAGAAGCAGCGCCCCCUUCAGACAGCCUGAUGGCACCUUCGCCAUGAGCAGCAGCCUCACCGUGCCGGCCGCCCACUGGAGGGAGGGCUGCGUCUUCGCUUGCACCGUCCAGCAGGGAGAGCGGAGGGUCCAAGUCCGCCUACGACGGUCCGAGUGCUGGGUGUCCGUCCAGAAAGAAAAGUGAGGUCUUCAUAUCCUACGACCACUCUGGGCAGCUGCCUUCGAAGGCGCUUUGACCGGCACUAUAGCGCCUU